rnacentral:rRNA from 1 species
CCUACGGGAGGCAGCAGUGAGGAAUAUUGGUCAAUGGGCGUAAGCCUGAACCAGCCAAGUCGCGUGAGGGAUGAAGGUUCUAUGGAUCGUAAACCUCUUUUAUAAGGGAAUAAAGUGCGGGACGUGUCCCGGUUUGCAUGUACCUUAUGAAUAAGGGUCGGCUAACUCCGUGCCAGCAGCCGCGGUAAUACGGAGGAUCCGAGCGUUAUCCGGAUUUAUUGGGUUUAAAGGGUGCGUAGGCGGCCUUUUAAGUAAGCGGUGAAAGUCUGUGGCUCAACCAUAGAAUUGCCGUUGAAACUGGAAGGCUUGAGUAUGUUUGAGGCAGGCGGAAUGCGUGGUGUAGCGGUGAAAUGCUUAGAUAUCACGCAGAACCCCGAUUGCGAAGGCAGCCUGCCAAGCCAUGACUGACGCUGAUGCACGAAAGCGUGGGGAUCAAACAGGAUUAGAUACCCUUGUAGUC